rnacentral:lncRNA from 1 species
CAGCAGACAGAGACCCACAGCCAGACAACGUGCAGAGACAUCCCAUGGAAGAUUCUCCAAAAUUGACCACACACUCGGCCACAAAGCAAGUCUCUACAGAUCAAAGAAACCGAAACAUCCUGCAUCCUAUCUGACUGCUAUGGAUUAGAGCUGCAUACAAACAACAGCAGAAACAACAGUAAAUUUACAAAUUCAUGGAAACUGAAAGAACCCAGCUCAUGGGACUGUGCCACCCACCCUCAGGAUGGAUCCUUCUUCUUCAGUUAAGCCCCUCUAGGAAUACUCUGAUACAUUUAGAGUAUCUGCCAGAUGAGAAAACUGGCAAUCAGAAGUGUUCAUCAAUGGCAUGCAUCUUUGUCAGUGUUCUAUUGAUAUGAAGACACACCAUGUCCACAGCAAUUCUUACAAAGGAAAGCAUUUAAUUUUGACUUGCUUGCAGUUUCAGAGGUUUAGUCCAUUAUCAUGGCAGGGAGUACAGUGGCAUAUGGGUAGACACGUUGCUGGAGAAGUAGCUGAGAGCUACAUGUAGAUCUGCAGGCUGCAGGGAGAGAGACUCUGGGACUUGGGAUGGGUUUUUGGAAACCUCAAAGCCCACUUCCAGUGACAAACUUCUUCCUCCAGGAGGCCACACCUCCUAGUCUUUUCAACAGUGCCACUCACUAGUGACUAAGUGUUCAAAUCUGUGAGCCUAUAAGAGUGAUUCUCGUUCAAACCACUGCAACAUGGGAAGCUAGGAUUCCCAAUCUGUAUAAGUGCAAAAGAGUGUUACUAAGUCCAUUAGAAGCCUCAUGCCACUCAUGAGCUCUGUAUAUCCACAUCGUCUCCUAUCCUCGGUAAUAACUUUUUGCACAUAGGUGUUCCUACAAACAGCCUCCUGUUUGGCAUCCAAGUUGGGAAGUGAAAGCCUCGUGUGCACAUGAAGAAAUCCACUUACCUAAAGCCAGAAUCAUCUGUAAGUGACAGGGACCACCCUGCCUGAGAAUCACUUAUUCCUGCCUCCAGCAGCAGCAGAUGCCUUGCUGUCUCCUUUUAUUAACUUAUUUAUGUCCCACAGAAGAUGGCAAUGCCUACUCUGAAAGAUUUCUAAGAGAAAUCUUGGAAUGGCUGAUCCAAAAAAGUCACCAGGUGUAACUGUAACUUUCCAAGGUGUUUGAGGGAGAAAAGCUAGUUUUCCAAACAUUCGGCUAUCUCCCCAUAAGUCUAUAUUCCUCUAAACAGUUAAAAAAAACAUAAACAUUUAAAAAAAACAUGUUAGGAAAUGAAAUGAUGUGUCUUAAACAAAUGGUGGAAGUCAACAACCCAGACCUGCUUCCUGUUGAGUGAGAACCAGAAUGAACGUGGAGAGAAGCUCAACGGGGAUUUAUUUGGCAGCCACCGUGCACCACGUUUGUGAUGUACCUGAUGCAAAGAUCCUGAGGAAAGGCUGUUAUUACUCAAUGUUACUGGAAGGGAACAGAAGUGACUGAACUGAGCUUAGGGACAGUUUGGAGAAAAAAAAAAAGAGCCCAGCAGGAAAAAGAGUUCUCCCAACUUUCCUUCUAUACUCUGGCUCGAGAGCGAGCCAGGCUGUGAGUCUGUAGUGUCAGAGACAGAUUUGAGGAGCGGACAUAGAUGUACUCUGGUCCUGUAUUCACAGCAACCCUCUUUCAGUGGAGACCUCAGAGCCCCUGUCUUCUUUUUCCUGAGGAAGUUGAGAGUAGAUAGGCCAGGGGAUAAUGGGAGAGGCCUAGACACCUUCUCAAGUCAUUCCAAGGACAGUGUACUGUAUUUCGAAUAAGAUGAAAGUGAGACACCUGAGGUAUGGAGUUUCAGGGUUGCUUCCUUACUCAAGACACAGCCACUCUGCCAAAGUGAAAAAAGGGCAUGCCCAGUGUUCUGUGUCCUACACACACUUGUUCUCUAUGGUGGGAUCCCGUGCUAUUGCUUUCUUCCUAUGCCAGGGAGAAAAGGGGCUUAGAAGCAGAAAUCUCUCUGUAACUCAUUGGAUGGUAGAAUUACACAGGGCCAGUAUGAGUCUAUUUUUGGUUUUCACUGACCCUACUGAAAGCUAAUAUGCACCUAUUAUUACUCUCUUCCAAUGUGGACAGGAUGGGUGCUAAGUGGGCACUGCCCUAGCCCAGCCAGCAAUAUCAUUGCAUUGGAAAGUUUUACAUCAACUUGACCCAAGCUAGAGUCAUCUGAGAAAAGGGACUUCAAUUAAGAAAAUGCUCCCAAGGCAGGAGGUGGUGGCACACGCCUUUAACCUCAGCACUUAGGAGGCAGAGGCAGGCAGGUCUCCGUAAAUUCAAGCCUGAUAAAGAGCCAGUUUCAGGAUAGCUAGG